UUUGUGCAAACUAAACAGUUGUUUUUUAUUAAAAAAUAGCAGACAAAGAAAUUAUACCAUCCAGCCCUCCUAUUUAAUUAUUAAAUAAAAGUGUGAAAGAGAUAUCAAGGGCUAUUCUGUUAAAAUGUCAUCCGACCAGUCUAGGCCCUGUUGUGAACCAGAAGGUGUGCUAAGUUGGAUGUUGGAUAUAGAAUGGAAGGAAUAUCAUGGCCGAGAACAAGGCAUAAUUGUAUGUCCCUUGAUGUAGGGGGGCCUGUAAAGGUAAAUAAUUCCUGGAGCCAUCUCGAGGUAUAGUACUCAAGUCGGAGCGAAUCAAUUGAUAGCACGAUGAAAAGAAAUAAUAGCCAGCAUAAAACUGUAAAUAUGUAUAUAACUAGUACUAUGUAGCUAUUUAACUGUAAGUACAAUGUAGCUAGAUAUUUA